AUUGAGGAAAUUAAGGCCUUUCCAAAUAUUAAUUUCCCACUAGUUCAGUUUAUCAUAUAUUCCAACCACACUGAAUUGCUUUCAGCACAAGCCUUC